rnacentral:rRNA from 1 species
AGAAUCAACGCUGGCGGCGUGCCUAAUACAUGCAAGUCGAACGAGAAAGUGGAGCAAUCCAUGAGUAAAGUGGCGCACGGGUGAGUAACACGUGACUAACCUACCCUUGAGUGGGGGAUAACCUAGAGAAAUCUGGGCUAAUACCGCAUAAUACCUUCGGGUCAAAGGAGCAAUUCGCUUAAGGAGGGGGUCGCGGCCGAUUAGUUAGUUGGCGGGGUAAUGGCCCACCAAGACUAUGAUCGGUAUCCGGCCUGAGAGGGCGCACGGACACACUGGAACUGAAACACGGUCCAGACUCCUACGGGAGGCAGCAGUGGGGAAUUUUGCGCAAUGGGGGAAACCCUGACGCAGCAACGCCGCGUGGAGGAUGAAGUCCCUUGGGACGUAAACUCCUUUCGAUCGGGACGAUUAUGACGGUACCGGAAGAAGAAGCCCCGGCUAACUUCGCGCCAGCAGCCGC